GUGGGGAAUUUUGGACAAUGGGCGCAAGCCUGAUCCAGCAAUGCCGCGUGCAGGAAGAAGGCGCUACGCGUUGUAAACUGCUUUUAACCGGGAAGAAACCCCAGGACGUGUCCUGGGUUGACGGUACCGGAGGAAUAAGCACCGGCUAACUUCGUGCCAGCAGCCGCGGUAAUACGAAGGGUGCAAGCGUUAUCCGGAUUCAUUGGGUUUAAAGGGUGCGUAGGCGGAGCGUUAAGCCAGUGGUGAAAUCCUGCAGCUUAACUGUAGACUUGCCAUUGAUACUGGUGCUCUUGAGUGCGCUUGAAGUGGGCGGAAUGUGCCGUGUAGCGGUGUAAUGCUUAGAUAUGGCACAGAACACCAAUUGCGAAGGCAGCUCACUAAGGCGAUACUGACGCUGAGGCACGAAAGCGUGGGGAUCGAACAGGAUUAGAAACCCGGGUAGUCC
rnacentral:rRNA from 1 species